CAGUCGCCACGGGAAUACGUAGGUGGCAAGCGUUGUCCGGAAUUAUUGGGCGUAAAGCGCGCGCAGGCGGAUAGGUCAGUCUGUCUUAAAAGUUCGGGGCUUAACCCCGUCAUGGGAUGGAAACUGCCAAUCUAGAGUAUCGGAGAGGAAAGUGGAAUUCCUAGUGUAGCGGUGAAAUGCGUAGAUAUUAGGAAGAACACCAGUGGCGAAGGCGACUUUCUGGACGAAAACUGACGCUGGGGCGCGAAAGCCAGGGGAGCGAACGGGAUUAGAUACCCCCGUAGUCCCUGUCUCUUAUCAC
rnacentral:rRNA from 1 species